rnacentral:rRNA from 1 species
UACGUAGGGAGCAAGCGUUGUCCGGAUUUAUUGGGCGUAAAGAGCGUGUAGGCGGCCAGGUAGGUCAGCUGUGAAAACUCGAGGCUCAACCUCGAGACGUCGGUUGAAACCACCUGGCUAGAGUCCGGAAGAGGAGAGUGGAAUUCCUGGUGUAGCGGUGAAAUGCGCAGAUAUCAGGAAGAACACCGGUGGCGAAAGCGCGAGACUGGGCCAUAACUGACGCUGAGGAGCGAAAGCAUGGGGAGCGAACAGG